UCGCUGGAGGACUAGUGGGUAGGCCACACCGCUGGAACCGCUGCGGUCUGGGUUCGAUUCCUGGCCAGGGAA